CAAACACAGGCACCUCCCACACCUGGGAACUUUGGCCGAGGCCCUGAGAUCAGCUCAGACAGAAGAUGGCGAGGGGAGAGCACACAGCCUGGCAGGAAAGCAAUUGGGUCAUGAGGUUGGUGCAGACACAACAGCGUAGCGUGCUCCUUCCCUGUGAGCUGGGUGAGCGGACAUGGAUCAGUGAGAACGAAGGUGAAUGGCAGUAGUCACUGGUCAGUAGGCAGAAACUGUUCCCUAAAAUCACAUCCUCCCAAACUCUGCUGGUGGACCUCUUACGGGUAAUGAUCUCAGGAUCCUGACACCCAGCUCCGCACAAGCACGAAGUCAGUUUGGGAUUCUCUGCCUCUCCCUCCCCUUCUGCUCCAUUACCAGGCUCGCACACGCGCAUGCGCUCUCUCUCAUAAAUAAAUAUCUAAAACAAA